rnacentral:lncRNA from 1 species
ACUGGAACAAACCCCAAGAAUUUCGACCUGAGAGGUUCUUGGAAGAGGAGGGAAAUGUAGAGCCUAGUGGGAAUGACUUUAGAUACCUUCCCUUCGGCGCUGGGAGGAGGAGUUGUCCUGGCAUUAUUCUCGCCUUGCCCAUCCUUGCUAUUACUUUGGGUCGUCUUCUUCAAAAUUUUGAGCUCAUGCCUCCUCCUGGACAAUCCAAGAUUGAUACCACCGAAAAGCCUGGACAGUUUAGCUUACAAAUAUUCAAUCACUCUACUAUUGUGGCAAAACCAAGGUCUUUGUGAUUUCUAUAUUAAUCUUCUCUUCGUGCAGGGUGUUUACUUUUUUUCCCAGUCAGUCGAAAAAGUAAUUUAGAAUUUGAUUGAUGACUAUAAAUUUACUUUGAU